CCUACGGGUGGCAGCAGUCGAGAAUCAUUCACAAUGGGGGAAACCCUGAUGGUGCGACGCCGCGUGGGGGAAUGAAGGUCUUCGGAUUGUAAACCCCUGUCAUGUGGGAGCAAAUUAAAAAGAUAGUACCACAAGAGGAAGAGACGGCUAACUCUGUGCCAGCAGCCGCGGUAAUACAGAGGUCUCAAGCGUUGUUCGGAAUCACUGGGCGUAAGGCGUGCGUAGGCUGUUUCGUAAGUCGUGUGUGAAAGGCGCGGGCUCAACCCGCGGACGGCACAUGAUACUGCGAGACUAGAGUAAUGGAGGGGGAACCGGAAUUCUCGGUGUAGCAGUGAAAUGCGUAGAUAUCGAGAGGAACACUCGUGGCGAAGGCGGGUUCCUGGACAUUAACUGACGCUGAGGCACGAAGGCCAGGGGAGCGAAAGGGAUUAGAUCCCCAGUAGUC
rnacentral:rRNA from 1 species